AGAACGAACGCUGGCGGCAGGCUUAACACAUGCAAGUCGAGCGCCCAGCAAUGGGAGCGGCGGACGGGUGAGUAACACGUGGGAACAUGCCCUUUGGUACGGGACAACUCAGGGAAACUUGAGCUAAUACCGUAUGAGCCGGUAACGGGAAAGAUUUAUCGCCAAAGGAAUGGCCCGCGUCCGAUUAGCUAGUUGGUGAGGUAAUGGCUCACCAAGGCACCGAUCGGUAGCUGGUUUGAGAGAACGACCAGCCACACUGGGACUGAGACACGGCCCAGACUCCUACGGGAGGCAGCAGUGGGGAAUCUUGGACAAUGGGGGCAACCCUGAUCCAGCCAUGCCGCGUGAGUGAUGAAGGCCUUCGGGUUGUAAAACUCUUUCGACGGGGACAUAAUGACGGUACCCGUAGAAGAAGCUCGGCUAACUUCGUGCCAGCAGCCGC
rnacentral:rRNA from 1 species